rnacentral:lncRNA from 1 species
AAACCUGCACAACAAGAGAGAAAACAGAGUCACCAUAAAAAAAGAACACAAAAUAGCAAAUGGAACCUUCCCCUCCAAGGCUCCCCGAUGGUAAUUUCGAUGCAUCCUUCUCCAGGAAAAAAAUGACAGGGUAAUGUAGCUAGCUUCUACAUGCAAAAAGGUCAACAGGAGAAAAAAAAGAUAGAUUAUGGAUUAGCAGCAGUUACUGAAGCUUCAG